rnacentral:rRNA from 1 species
CCUACGGGAGGCAGCAGUGAGGAAUAUUGGUCAAUGGCCGCACGGCUGAACCAGCCAAGUCGCGUGAGGGAUGACGGUCCUAUGGAUUGUAAACCUCUUUUGUCAGGGAGCAAAGGGCGCCACGUGUGGCGCUUUGCGAGUACCUGAAGAAAAAGCAUCGGCUAACUCCGUGCCAGCAGCCGCGGUAAUACGGAGGAUGCGAGCGUUAUCCGGAUUUAUUGGGUUUAAAGGGUGCGCAGGCGGAAUGUCAAGUCAGCGGUAAAAUUUCGGGGCUCAACCCCGUCGUGCCGUUGAAACUGGCGUUCUUGAGUGAGCGAGAAGUAUGCGGAAUGCGUGGUGUAGCGGUGAAAUGCAUAGAUAUCACGCAGAACUCCGAUUGCGAAGGCAGCAUACCGGCGCUCAACUGACGCUCAUGCACGAAAGCGUGGGUAUCGAACAGGAUUAGAUACCCCAGUAGUC